UACGAAGGGGGCUAGCGUUGCGCGGAAUCACUGGGCGUAAAGGUGCGUAGGCGGGUCUUUAAGUCAGGGGUGAAAUCCUGGAGCUCAACUCCAGAACUGCCUUUGAUACUGAAGAUCUUGAGUUCGGGAGAGGUGAGUGGAACUGCGAGUGUAGAGGUGAAAUUCGUAGAUAUUCGGAAGAACACCAGUGGCGAAGGCGGCUCACUGGUCCGGUACUGACGCUGAGGUGCGAAAGCGUGGGAGCAACAGG
rnacentral:rRNA from 1 species